rnacentral:lncRNA from 1 species
UCGCUGAUGGUCGCUUACCCAGAUCUAUCUAUGUGUAUACGCUUAGAGCUCACCUCCUCACCCGUACGACUCUCGAUAGUAGAAGAGAAAAGGAACAUAUCCAAUGAGUCUGAUUGCAAUGGUAUAAGAUAUAAGCUUAAAGGAAUAGAUAGGCGCAAGGUAAACGACAGAACCAUGUACUAACCGGACCGAAGGAAGAGGUCUCCUGUACAAUCUCUGGCCCAAGAAUCUGUCUCUCCCCUACUUCAUCCC